AUACGUAGGGGGCAAGCGUUAUCCGGAAUUACUGGGCGUAAAGGGUGCGUAGGCGGUUUAUCAAGUCAGGGGUGAAAGGCUACGGCUCAACCGUAGUGAGCCUCUGAAACUGGUGAACUUGAGUGUAGGAGAGGAAAGUGGAAUUCCCAGUGUAGCGGUGAAAUGCGUAGAUAUUGGGAGGAACACCAGUGGCGAAGGCGACUUUCUGGACUACAACUGACGCUGAGGCACGAAAGCGUGGGGAGCAAACAGGAUUAGAUACCCUGGUAGUCCACGCUGUAAACGAUGAGUACUAGGUGUCGGCUGUCAAAGGUCGGUGCCGGCGUUAACACAAUAAGUACCCCGCCUGGGGAGUACGGUCGCAAGAUUAAAACUCAAAUGAAUUGACGGGG
rnacentral:rRNA from 1 species